rnacentral:lncRNA from 1 species
AUUCUCUUCAUUUCUUCAUGAACUGCUGCCGUCUUCUCUUCCUUACCCGUCUGUUUCCAUCGAGGCGUAGAUGAUUGUGUAUUUGUCGUAGUAUCCAUAGCCUCCAUCGUCAACUAGGCCACAAAAACACCAAUUUCCUUCAAAUCUGUGCAAACCCAAUAAGAUAAAGAUAAGAAAUUUUUGAAAAAAAACACACGAUUCAAAUUAGAGUACUUAUUAAUUGAGAUAAUCGUGCACAGUUCCUUUACGAAAGUGUUUGGUUGCUGAGAAAAGAGAGAAUAAAGAGUACCGGAUCUUUUCUUUUCUUGCAAUUUCUCGGUAACCAAACAGAGCGUAAAAUUAGAGGGGGAGACACAGAGGGUUACAGGUUUCGUUCGUCUGCCGAUUUGGGAGAGAGGAAUUUUUGACAAGUGUUGUAGAGCGAAGGGGGAGAGACAGAGCCUAAAAACUCACCGCUUUUCU